rnacentral:lncRNA from 1 species
GCUUGGGUGGUUUCCAGGUCGCUCGUCCAGGUACGAUUUUUAUUUUGCGGCUCGGUAAGGGUCCGUGAAGCCCCGCACUGCUGACAGCUUCUUAGCGCAACAUUAUGCCAGCUAGUACCAGAAACUAUUGUUAUGCGCUUGGCAGUGGACGUCCCCGGGCCGUCGUACUAGGAACGACCUUAGUCCGACGCGAAUAGCCCUACCCUUGGUAUAUGACGCAUGCAAGGUCAGAGGAUGUUGUUGCGACGAACACAGCUGAUAUUCAAUACUUGCAACUAAUAAUCAGACUUGCCAUGCUUAUUAGUGGUAGGUGACAUUAUGUUACUCUUACUACCUUGGC